rnacentral:misc_RNA from 1 species
GAUGAAGAACGUAGCGAAAUGCGAUAAGUAAUGUGAAUUGCAGAAUUCAGUGAAUCAUCGAAUCUUUGAACGCACAUUGCGCCCGCCAGUAUUCUGGCGGGCAUGCCUGUUCGAGCGUCGUUACAACCCUCAGGCCCCCGGGCCUGGCGUUGGGGAUCGGCGGAGCCCCCCGUGGGCACACGCCGUCCCCCAAAUGCAGUGGCGGUCCCGCCGCAGCUUCCAUCGCGUAGUAGCUAACACCUCGCGACUGGAGAGCGGCGCGGCCACGCCGUAAAACACCCAACUCUUCUGAAGUUGACCUCGAAUCAGGUAGGAAUACCCGCUGAACUUAAGCAUAUCAAUAAGCGGAGGA